rnacentral:lncRNA from 1 species
ACCAACCCCCUUACCUGUGAUCUCUGACUUUUAUUAGUUUUUAUUUGAAAACUUCUUACUUUUUGGGUUUUGUUCGUACUAGGACACUUUGGGUGCUAACACCUUCCCUCUGUGUAACCAACCCCCUUACCUGUGAUCUCUGACUUUUAUUAGUUUUUAUUUGAAAACUUCUUACUUUUUGGGUUUUGUUCGUACUUUUUCCCUUUUACCUUGGAAAUAAUAAAAGCGUGGUGGCGACUCUUGUUAAUUGAUCUCUAGCUUGUCAAUAGCUUGAUGGUCAUGAAUUUCCCGCUACAAUAAGCUCUCAAGAAGAAAGUAUGGUUGAAUUCCAUGAAAGAAGAAUUUGAGGCUAUAGUAAGAAACA